CCCUUAGAUGUCCGGGGCCACACGCGCGCUACACUGAAGGAAUCAGCGUGGCUUUCUCCCUGACCCGAAAGGGUUGGGAAACCCGUUGAAUCUCCUUCGUGAUAGGGAUUGGGGCUUGAAAUUGUUCCCCAUGAACGAGGAAUUCCCAGUAAGCGCGAGUCAUAAGCUCGCGUUGAUUACGUCCCUGCCCUUUGUACACACCGCCCGUCGCUACUACCGAUUGAACGGUUUAGUGAGGGCCUCGGAUUGGUCUCGGCCCGCUCUUUACCGGGCGGCGCCGUUGGUCGAGAAGACGCUCGAACUUGAUCGUUUAGAGGAAGUAAAAGUCGUAACA
rnacentral:rRNA from 1 species